CCUACGGGCGACAGCAGUGUGGAAUAUUGGUCAAUGGUCGGGAGACUGAACCAGCCAAGCCGCGUGAGGGAUGAAGGUACAGAGUAUCGUAAACCUCUUUUGUCAGGGAACAAAGGCGGGGACGUGUCCCCGGAUGAGUGUACCUGAAGAAAAAGCAUCGGCUAACUCCGUGCCAGCAGCCGCGGUAAUACGGAGGAUGCGAGCGUUAUCCGGAUUUAUUGGGUUUAAAGGGUGCGCAGGCGGUCUGUUAAGUCAGUGGUAAAAGCCCGGGGCUCAACCCCGGCCCGCCGUUGAAACUGGCAGUCUCGAGUUGGAGAGAAGUAUGCGGAAUGCGCGGUGUAGCGGUGAAAUGCAUAGAUAUCGCGCAGAACUCCGAUUGCGAAGGCAGCAUGCCGGCUCCACACUGACGCUGAGGCACGAAAGCGUGGGUAUCGAACAGGAUUAGAUACCCCGGUAGUC
rnacentral:rRNA from 1 species